GACGAACGCUGGCGGCGUGCUUAACACAUGCAAGUCGAACGGAAAGGCCCUGCUUUUGUGGGGUGCUCGAGUGGCGAACGGGUGAGUAACACGUGAGUAACCUGCCCUUGUCUUUGGGAUAACUUCAGGAAACUGGGGCUAAUACCGGAUAGGAGCUCCUGCUGCAUGGUGGGGGUUGGAAAGUUUCGGCGGUUGGGGCUGGACUCGCGGCUUAUCAGCUUGUUGGUGGGGUAGUGGCUUACCAAGGCUUUGACGGGUAGCCGGCCUGAGAGGGUGACCGGCCACAUUGGGACUGAGAUACGGCCCAGACUCCUACGGGAGGCAGCAGUGGGGAAUAUUGCACAAUGGGCGGAAGCCUGAUGCAGCAACGCCGCGUGCGGGAUGACGGCCUUCGGGUUGUAAACCGCUUUCGCCUGUGACGAAGCGUGAGUGACGGUAAUGGGUAAAGAAGCACCGGCUAACUACGUG
rnacentral:rRNA from 1 species